rnacentral:lncRNA from 1 species
CGCUUAAUGAAAGUUUAAAGUAAGAAACUUGCUCAACAUAAAUGUUGAGUUAGAAAACUUGCCUCGAGCGUAAGCUAUAAUAUUAAACUCACGUUCACCUACACAUAGGUUUAGAACCACAAUACCUAUUAGAUAUGCUAACAUACCAUAACAUGUACAUUUCUAGCUAAACUUAUCAUUUUAGCACAAGUCUUAUGCUACUAUACAAAUAUCAGAAAUUUCAAGUGUUAACCUUCACAACACCUGUUUACUUUUCAUCAUGCUCACUAAGCCUAACAUGCCACGUUCAUUACUUACUAAUCAUUUGAAACUUUAAAUUUACUAACCACAUAACACAACUUUUUUUAACCUUGUUGUUACGUGUUUAUCAUACUAACACAUCAUUGGACCAUGGUAUGAUGCUAUCCCAUAACUGCAGCAGUAGCAGAAGUCACUAUCCCAAACCAGGGUAUGGUGCAGCUGCGCCAUACACAGGCCUGGGACGGGCGCAACACGUAGCUGCGCUGGUGCACAGACAGAGACAGAGACGGCUAUGAACAGUAGCCGACUUUAGCCCAACAACCACGAAUUUCACCCACUAAACAGUAAUAUUAACACGAACAAUUGAUACAAAACCAUCAUAAACAUAUUUGCCAACAUAUUCCUCAACAUAAAACAAUUUAACAACAAUUACACUAGUUUAAUUUCCUCAAAUUCCAUAUUUUUAUAUAAAACUUCAUUUUUGAGUUCCUUAGAUCAACACUGUAAACACAAUUCUUGUCCAAAUUGCUUCAUUCAAAUUACGUUGUCUUCGUUUCUUAAUGAACUAGCAUAAUCAAGCCUCAAUUUGCAGUUUAGCAUACUAAUUAACCAUCAUAAUUGGUACUUCAUAAGCCAUAUGAGAAAACAUACUGGAAUUUACUUUUCUUCCUUUUUAAGCUGUAAUUAGCAUACAAUCAUAAGCUCUAGCAUCACAAAUUACAUAUAAAUUGCAAUAACUCAGUUUUCUACAACAAUUCGAGAGAAUUUGAAUUCACAGAGCACAUAUAAGUUAUGUCGUAACCUCAUAUAUACAUAUUUAUAUAUAUAAUAUUAAGGUUGUAUAAGAAGUACCUUCAAAUUGCUUGCAAUCCUUUUUGUUAAACACUGAAAAUUCUCUAAAAUCCUUCUCUCUCAAAUUCUCUCAAGCUCUAUCAAGCUCUCUCUGAACUCUCAGUGUUCUUCCUAGGCAACUAAGGUUAUGCGUAAAAACCCAAACUGAUAAUCAAGCGUAAGAAAUAAAACUGAUAACCUUAAUACGCCAAACUUAAUAAAAUGUCAGUUACAAAACAAACGUAUAUAUUAUAAAUAUAUUAUAUUUAUUAUUUAUUUUAUUUUAUUUACUUUAUUUAUAAUUCAAAAUUCAAAAACUAAUAAUCCAAAUGCCAUAAGGCUUUGUUUGGCAAAACCCUUUAAAAUUUAAAGACUUAAUAUUUUAAGCCUUGUUUGGCAAAAACUAAAUUAAACUCCCUUAAUUUAUUUUAAUAAACCAUUUAGUUUAUAAUUUAUAAUUACAUCUUAUUUAUUUGGAUUUCCAUAUCCAUCAUUUAUUAAAUAAAUCAAUCACAUUCUAUAUUUUAAAUAAAUUUACCAUUUAAACAAAUAACACAAAAUUAUAAUUUCAUUAUAAUUUUAUUUAAUAAUUUAAUAUACCAUUUUAAAUUAUUAAUUAACAAUAUAACACCUCAUGUCAAAUUACAACUCUCUAAAUUAUAAAUUAAUUUAAUUUAGAAUAUUAUCUAAUAAAUUUAGAUUCAUAAAUAUAUAUUAACAACCAUCACAUCAAUAAAUAUUUAUUCAACAAUAAACACCUCAAAUAAAUAUUUAUAUAAUUCAAUAAAUAUUUAAAAUUAUAAUUUGAAAUUCUGGAUUGUUACAGAAACCUUAAUAUCCAAGUCCCACAUUGGGUCACUUAUAAAAGUCUUAAGUAAGUUUUUCUUAUAAAAAGACUUCAAAGUGAAACAUUAAGAGUCAAGUCCCACAUUGGUUCACUUAUAAAAGUCUAAUGAAGUUUUCCUUAUAAAUAUUGGUUCACUUAUAAAAGUUUAAGUAAGUUUUCCUUGUAAAAAGAUUUCAAAGUUAAACCUUAAUAACAAAGUCCCACAUUGGUUCACUUAUAAAAGUCUAAGAAGUUUUUCUUAUAAAAAGACUUCCAAGUGAAAUCUUAAUAGCCAAGUCCCACAUACUUUGGAAAAUCUUAAUAGCCAAGUUCCACAUACUUACUUUGGAAAAUCUUAAUAGCCAAGUCCCACAUAUUUAUAAAAGUCUAAGGAAGUUUUUCUUAUAAAAAGACUUCCAAGUGAAACUUUAAUAGCCAAGUCCCACAUUGGUUCACUUAUAAUAGUCGUAAGGAAAUCUUAAUAGUAAAGUCCCACAUUGGUUCACUUAUAAAAGUCUAAGGAAGUUUUCCUUAUAAAAAGACUUCCAAGUGAAACCUUAAUAGCCAAGUCCCACAUUGGUUCACUUAUCAAAGUCUAAGGAAGUUUUGCUUAUAAAAAAACUAUUAAGUAUGAAAUGAGACCUUAAUAGCCAAGUCCCAAGGGAAACAUUAAUAAUUGGUGGUUUACAAGUUCUAUAUUAAUAAACUUAAAUUAUUUAUCAAUAAGUUGGGAAAGAUCUGCUCCAAAGUUAGAAUAAAAGUCUCAAGUCCACAUUGAUUAAUAAAAAUUUAAGGAAGACCUUAAUAAUUGGUUAAUUUAUAAAAGUCUAAGGAAAUUUUUCUAUAAAAAAACUACAAGUGAGACCUUAAUAGUCAAGUCUCACAUUGAUUAUUUUUCUAUAAAAAAAACUAUAAGUGAGACCUUAAUAGUCAAGUCCCACAUUGGUUAUUUUUUAAAAGUCUAAGGAAGUUUUCCUUAUAAAAAUACUACUAAGUGAGAUCUUAAUAGGAAAGUCCCACAUUGGUUAUUUUAUAAAAGUCUAAGGAAGUUUUCCUUCUAAAAAGACUACUACCAAGUGUGAUUUUAAUAGCAAAGUCCCACAUGGGUUAUUUUAUAAAAGUCUAAGGAAGUUUUCCUUCUUAAAAGACUAUCAAGUGAAGUUUUCCUUGAGACCUUAAUAGCCAAGACCCACAUUGGUUAUUUUGUAAAAUUCUAAGAAAGUUUUUCUUAUAAAAAGACUUCCAAGUCUUUUAUUUUUUAAUUGGGUUGAAUUUUAGUUUGAAGAAGGUUGGGCCUAAUACAAGUCAUGGGCUACUUGACCUUUAGCCGAAUUUAGGCUCAAAAACAAGUCUUGGGCUGCUCUUUCUUGUUAUAACUGCAAAUUAAAGAAACUAACCUUCUAUUUCAUGGGCUUCUAAAGCCUCUUAUAUUGUUCUAACCAAUUUUCACACGUUCGUCCUACAUCAUUUCUCCUUUGUUGAAAAAAACAUGACUACGUCGAGUUAAAAACAUCACUACGAGAAUAAUCACGCUAGAUCACCAAGGAAUUCUUUACAAAAUUAAAAGUUGGUAUGUCGAUAGCACAUGUAAGAGUGAACCUGAUAUGGCCUUUGAUAAUUGAAUAGAUAUUAGCACGAGCAUCAUGUUGCGCACGAUGAUCCCAUAACCAUGUACGCCCUAAGAUAAUGUUACAAACAUUAAGGGGUAGAAUAUCACACAUAACGGUAUCCUUAAGCUUGCCAACAGAAAAUGUAACUGAAUACCUCUGGGUAACCUGCAACUUUGUAUUGGUAAUCCAUACAACAUCAUACGGCUCCGGGUGAGGCUCAACUUUUAACCAAAGCUUAUUAACUGCUUCCUCUAAUAUAAUUUUCGUACAACUCCUAGUAUCAAUCACAAGAGAGCACACCUAUCCCGCACAUAUAACGCUCGUCUGAAAAAUUCGCCCAUGAUGAAUUUGAGAAUCAUCCUUACAUUUUUAAGCAACAAGUAAAGGUUGAAGAACACCUAAACAUCAUUCCAAAUGAGCAUUAGAUUCUAAAUCUUGCUCACCGGGUUCAUAUUCGUCGUUCAUCGGUUUGCAAACCUAAGGCUGUAAACGAGUAAACAGUUCGGGCUCGAGUGAACUCUGUACUAGAAUUGACAGCACUAACACUGCAAUCCAUAGAUACAAACAAUUAUAAAAGCUGUUCUAUAUCCUAGACUCGUACUUUAGGGGAUCAGCCUAAGUACCCUACAUUGUGCAUAACAUAACAGUCUAAUGACACUUUACAUGUCCUUCGGAAUCAUAUGUCCGAUACAAUAUGCCCCUAUAAAAGGGUUGUUCGUUCACAGCAUUAUAUAAGAAUCUGCACCACAACAAAAUGGUUUGGAAAAUAUUAUAUGAGAUUUUCAUGAAUAAUAUCAAUGUAUCUCAACAGUUGUCUAACUAAAAUAAUGGCAUUGGCAUACUUUCAAUAUAAACUUAUUUAAGAGAGAAGUAUUAUUCUUUUGAAGUUGAUUGGAAUAAAAAGGUUAUUUAGCCUUAUAUUAUUCAUAAAUAAUGAGAGACGGAUCAGAAAUUGGAGAACCUGUCCAUUCUAUAAUACUUGCUCAAUAAAGAGUAAGAGUUAGAAACAUGCCUCGUUUGUAGUCUAUUGUUAAGAUUUCAGCUUAAUUGAAGUGUUCUCAUAGAUCCUACACAGUUAUUUACAUUAGCAAGCAUGUUAGCCACAUAGCCAAGCCACAUAGUUUGUAAGCUCACAUAUCACGUAGUUUUAGUGAUCAUGGUUGUAUUUAGAUUCCUAUAUUUGAGAUAUUUUAUACAUUUUUCAAAUACCUCAUCCAUGUUUUCACAUUAGUCAUUUUUCACUUUGAUGGGAUUUGACAUACUUAUAUCAUGCAAUAGGAAUCACUUACCAUUUACAUCUUAUUCAGGAUUUAGAACAUAAAGAUUUCAUGUGUUCUUGAGUUAAGUCAUAGCAGCCCAUACCAAAGUAAUUUUGUGUUGGUUUAGACUUCUAAGCAAGCUUCUUUAUAUUUCUUGAAACUAAUGCCCAAACUAGGCCACUAUUCACAGUUUUGAGUUUACUAGUUUUGGUCCAUUAUUUCCAAUUUCAUUUCUAGCCACCUUGGUUCAUUCCAACACUUGAAUUAUAUCUAGUUAGGACUAGUUCUAGCAUCUUUAGGUUUACUAAGCAUAGAUUGGGUUUUGACCCUCUAAACCUAGCUUUUUCAAGCUUUUACACACUAACUUCUCAAGUUCUUGUAUAUAUUAGCAUUCCAACACUUGGAAUAACCUAGUAUAACUCUAACUCACUUGUCUAAGGUAUCCAAAUUGAGUUCUAAGUAGAAUAGAAAAAUCUCAAAUUUUCAUACUUAGACAAAUUUGCAAAACUACAGUUUUAAAGAUUUUCCAUGCUAGAUUGGUGAUUUGUUUAAAGUCCUUGGUUAAGCCAAGAGAAUAACCACUUGGCCCUACUUUUAGACCAUACUACAAGGUAUUUUAAUCAAGGUUUAGAUUUCUUGUUCAUGCCCAUUAAGCCUCCCAAAACAGGGCUCAAACUUAGCCAUUUUCUUAUUUUAUUACAAAACUGAUUUUGUACUUUUUCCAAAUUUUUCUUGUUUUGGCCACUAGGAUAGUCUAGGCAUGUGUAUUUAAGUUACUUAAGGAUACGUUUAGCAUCACCACACUUUAUUUAAUCAUCUAGCCCAUUUUGACCUAUCAAAGCUCACUUUAGGCUUGAAAAAGAGAUCUUAACUUGGUUCUCUUGCUAGCUUUGGUAAUGGCCAUGAUUUGGAAUCAUUACUAUCAUGUAUGAGCAACUUUAUAUAAGCUCACAAUAGUCCCUUAAUGUCAGGUACUAAGGAUUGCCCAAAAUAGCCCAUUUUUAGCUUUAAAAUGUGAUCUUUAACAAGUUUAAUGAUCAAAAAAGUUUAGACUUUGUUUCCUUAGCUUGUGUAGCUUAAUUAGGUCAUAUUUUAGCUAUUGGAACUUGUCUAUAUAGUCUAGAUAUGGUAGUUCUUCAUUUAGGUGCUAGUUGCUUUUUAAAGCUUACUUUCAUGGAUUUUUAAACAUGACUUUAUACAAUACACCUUGUAAACCUUAACUAACUUAGGGAACAACUUUUAAGUGAUAUUUUUAGACUAUUUAGAGACUUCAUAUUGCCUCUCAACUUCAGUUUGCAAACAUUACUCAUAACAGUCCUUUUUUAUCUUUUUAUGCCAACAACUAAGCUUGGCUUGGCCCUGUGAGGCUCAGCUAAGCUUGGUGUGGCCUUGUUUAGCCUCACGGCCCCUAAGUCAAAUCCAAAGCUACUAUUGCAGCUGUUAACUUGACAAUUGUUGCCACAAAUGAGCAGUUGCUCGGCCACUUUUCUUUAACUUUUUUAUAUUUGCAAACUCCCAAGGAUAGUCUAUAUGCCUGUUUAUAAACUAACUUAGACUAUACUUAUUAGUUAGCUCUAGACAACUAUAUUAGUUUGUUAAGACAGACUGCCCAAACUGCCUUAGUAGUCCUCUACUUGCCAACUGUUGCUAUUUUUUUCUAUAGCCAGUAGGCAGCAGUCCCAAGUCCUAUGCCAUUCAAAGGUUUUACUUCUUAACUUCAUGAAAUCUUGGCAUGCUAUAUGUGAUACAAUCCUAGUUAUGCUUACCUUCCAACUAGGCUGGGAGAAAAAGUUGUUAGUGCCACUAAAGGACACUGCUUCUGCUGUUGUGACACACUUCUUGCUGCUAUUUGCAGCAAAAUGCUGCCGCCAAUGGCAGCAGCUAUGCUCUUUAUCUCAGGGAAUUUCUGGCUUCAUAUUAGGUAGCUUAUUUAUAACUUAUUUCAAGAACUUUAUAGAUAAUAUACUCACUCUCAGUUAACUCAACAUUUGCAGCCAUUGAAUUACAUUUGCAAAUUGGUUUGUGACCACUGAUUGUCGGUACACGUUGCUGCCUAUGGGCAACAGCUCCUUUUCUUAUCCCUUUGUUUUGUUGCACUUUAUUCCCCCAUUCUUGACCCUCUUAUAUCAAGUGUUGGGUAUUUCAUAACUUAUAUUUAUUCUUAUUGUAGAGAAGUAUUACAUAAGUAUAUUUAGUAGUUUAAUUGUGCCAAACUAAAGCUCAAGGAAAGCUUCAACUGUUGCACAUGACUGCUGCUACUGUGAGCAGCAGCUGUACCACUAACUCCAUACCAUCUUUGGCUUGAAUUUGAGUUUUCGUUUCUAAUUGGCAUGCUUAUUCGCUCUAUUUUUAACCCCCUAUAGCAUACCAAUUUGUCCCAGCCCUUAAUUCUUUCUAGUAAUUAAUUUUUACUCAAAAUAGUUUACUGGGGACUUUUAACGAACAUGUGGUGUGCACAGUAUUGAUUUACCAGAUUCAUAGUCAUAGGUUUAUAACAUACAUCCUCAUUAUCCUUCUUAUUACUCCACAGCCCAACCUAUCUCCUUGUGCUUAACUUCAGUCCAUAUUAAUACAACAAUCAGCAUACCAGACAUUUUAAUUCAUAGAAUAGUUAACAUAGCAACCAAAAACAGAACUUAAUGUAACAGUCCUUCUAUUCCCAGCCAUUCAGAAUUUACAGUUCAGUUGCUUAACAAGGAUGGAAUGAAAAAGGAAUGAAAAGGGAUUUGAGGACUUACCUUUAUAGCUCAGUGUUUGCAAAUGGUUAUUGCUCAGUUUCUCUCCUUCCUCGAUCAGACUCCAUUUUCUUCUCUCUAAGUGUGUUACAGUUUUGAAGCUCAGUUAGUAGUACACCCACUGAGUUUGAGAUACUUAGUAUGGUUAUAAGUAGCUAAGAAGUAAAGGCUAACCAUCAUGGCUCUACUUAGCUGCUACCACCGUACUCUAACAGCCUAAGUCAGUUGCCCCUAUUUGCUCAGCUGAUACACUCCCCCUUGGAUCCUAUCUAGCUCCUUAUCUGGCCCCUAUACAGCAACCUAGAUUGGCCUCUAUAAGACUCUUGCUGGGCUACCUUUGCUAGUAGCUACAUUGACCCUUAUUGUUGCCUGAAAUUUUAGCUCUUACAGUGAUUAGCCUCUCAG